CGCAGGUGCAAACGGCGUAGGCGUUCUUUCUGGGAAGAUUCUUCGGCUUCAAGUGGAAGACAUACUCCGAACCCCCAAGUCUAUCCGCCGCUCAGGGAUCCUUGUCAUUUGAGGAUGUGACUGUGGGCUUCACCCAGGAGGAGUGGCAGCAUCUGGACCCUGCUCAGAGGACACUGUACAGGGAUGUGAUGCUAGAGAACUAUAGCCACCUCGUCUCAGUGGGAUAUUGCAUCCCUAAAACAGAAGUGAUCUUCAAACUGGAACAAGGAGAGCAGCCAUGAAUAUUAAAGGAAGAGCCCCCAGGCCAGAGAUACCCAGAUCCUCCAGAAGCAAUAAGGAAAAAGAGCAACACAAACUUUAUCUCAUGACAAUAGAGGAUAUCUGAAACCCCAAAUCAAUACAAGUGGAAAUGCUGCCAGAAUCACUGAAAAAUUAAGGAGGGCUAUAUGUACCAGCAGAUGAAAAGAAACAAAAACAUUUCUGGUGCUUGAAGGAACUGGUAAAAUACUUGAGAGAGACAAAGUACAUACUCUGAGGUGCAAAGCUUAAAUCUCUCUUGCAAUAACAUCAGUGCUGUGCACAGGACAGCUGGAGCUCUUUUGAAUGCAGUCUGGUUCUGUGAAGGUGAUGUAGGGUUAAGUAUGGAAACAGACACACAAGUCAUAUUUUUCUGUGACAAUGCAAGAAAUGAGAGUUUCCAUUUCAGAAAAAAAUGUUACAGACACCUGUAUGUGGGGAAAUAAACUUACAUGCUAUCUUAGCUUGUAUUCCUACAAACAAUUUGAAAUAAAAAUUUACUCGGUAACUAUUGGUCAGGAUGGGCAGACCUACUACAGAAGUGAGGAAGUGGGGAGUAAGGCUGGUCAGGACGAAGAGAAAGUACAAGAGGGUGAUAACAGAGCAAGCCAUUACCAAGGCUACUCUGGCAAGAAAGGAGCGACAAUCUGGGUUGAUGCAUAAACUGAGUUUGGUAUAUGUGCAAAACACUUGUUCAUAAGAAGCUCUCUUGUUAGGUUAAUACAUGGCUCUGUUCCUUUUACCUAGUAAAACUGAUGCAGUGUAAAAGCUCAUGUCCUUUGAAGCUGAGUAAUCCAAAAGGAACUGGCAUAAAAUGCCCCACAAAACUACUGCAAGAAUAAAGAGGUGAAAAAGAUUAGGAAAAAAAAGUAGGUGAUGAAAUGUCACCUGAUCAAAGUGGACAUAAAGUAGAUAAAUAAUUGGGCCAAAUAAUAAACCAUGAAUUUCAAAAAGGACUAAUUGAAUUGAUUGCCUGCAUGAUAUGAGAGUUCAAGAAGGAUGUUAAGGCAACAGUAUAAUGUUUUAAUUCAUUUAAUAAAAUGCAUUCUGGGAUGUCAGGCUGAGAAAAGAAUUGGAAGAGAAAAUAAGAAUCACAGUAAAGAAAGCAAAUUGGGGCCAGGCACAGUGGCUUACACCUGUAA